GGAGCAUUGUGAGCGAUGGAGAUCCACUGAAGAAAUACACGGGAUGGGAAAAUAUUGGCCAAGGGGGUUUCGGAACCGUGUCUAGAGCAUUCGAUGCUGUCACAGGAGGAGAGGUGGCCAUCAAGCAAGUCAAGCUCCACCAACAGAGCAAAGAGGAACUCCUGAAAGAGAUCCUGGUCCUGAGGGAUAAGAACCACCCCAAUAUCGUUACUUAUUUAGACAGCUACCUUGUC